GGAGGGGUGGCAGAGCGGUUGAUUGCGGCGGUCUUGAAAACCGUUGUCCCGGGAUGACCGGGACCGAGGGUUCGAAUCCCUCCCCCUCCG
rnacentral:tRNA from 1 species